rnacentral:rRNA from 1 species
UACGUAGGGGGCAAGCGUUGUCCGGAAUCAUUGGGCGUAAAGCGCGUGUAGGCGGUUCAGUAAGUCUGCUGUGAAAGUCCAGGGCUCAACCCUGGGAUGCCGGUGGAUACUGCUGGGCUAGAGUACGGAAGAGGCGAGUGGAAUUCCCGGUGUAGCGGUGAAAUGCGCAGAUAUCGGGAGGAACACCUAUUGCGAAGGCAGCUCGCUGGGACGUUACUGACGCUGAGGUGCGAAAGCGUGGGGAGCAAACAGG